AUUGCUCCUUAGUUCUCUUACGCUCUUUUCUCCAUGUUCCCUCCUCUCUCCACCCAGUUAUUCUUGAUUAUUUUGGCAAUAUUUCUGUCUGUACAACCAGUCUGUAUUACCACUGCAGGAAAAGAAUUGCAUACCGCAAGGCAGACAUCCCAAAAUCUGAGCCUUCGUUUCAGAGAUUUUAAGAAGACACCAGGUUUUAUUCAAAUGCUGGCCAGUCACUUCUUCAAAGGCUCCAAACACUGCCAUGUGACCAGGCUGCUCCACUGCAACUACAUAGUGUGUGUGUACUUUCAACACUAAGACUUAAGGUCACCGUAGCCACCAGAUCCAGUCUGUAUCCAGAUCAGAUGGUGGAUCAGCACCUAGACACACCCUUGACAGCCCUGAAUGUCAGCGGAGACCAAGACAACUAGAUGAGCCCCAGAGACAGAUCCCCUCCAAAGAACUCAUCACUUAGACAGCCAUCGGGACAAGACCACAGAAACAAAACCAGUCCUCUGCACAAUCUGACCUGUGUUGCAGCCUGCAAUUAAACUGCUGGAUUCGUCUAGCCAGAGAAGAACAAUGGAGUUUUAGUUGUUUCGACACAUGAUUUUUCUGUUUAAUACUGUAAAGCUGCUUUGACACAAUCUGUAGUGUAAAAAGCACUAUGUAAAUACAGUGACUGGACUUUACUUGACUCAAUUCAGUUGAACUGUAACACCUGGUUCAUUUAUUUUUUUCUGACUUCUGCCUCAUUUGAAAGAUGUAAUUGUGAACAUUUGUAAAUGUUUGUUUGCAUACAUUUUGU
ensembl:lncRNA